UACGGAGGGUGCGAGCGUUGUCCGGAAUUAUUGGGCGUAAAGAGCUCGUAGGCGGUGUGUCACGUCGAUCGUGAAAACUUACAGCUUAACUGUGAGCGUGCGGUCGAUACGGGCAUCACUGGAGUUCGGCAGGGGAGACUGGAAUUCCUGGUGUAGCGGUGAAAUGCGCAGAUAUCAGGAGGAACACCGGUGGCGAAGGCGGGUCUCUGGGCCGAUACUGACGCUGAGGAGCGAAAGCGUGGGGAGCGAACAGG
rnacentral:rRNA from 1 species